UGACUGAAUCCCAUCCGUGGGAAAUGAAAUGUUGUACCAGUCUCCCCAACGUACUGUAUCCCACAGGUGGAGCAGGAGAUAACAUAAAUGCAGUUUUGAGAGUGGGGGCUCCCCCUGCAUAGAGACGGAAACACAUUUUUGUUGUGGUGGCUGCAAAUCCAAUCCAAAUGUUUGAAAAAAGAGGCUGGCAGAAAUCUGUGCUCCUCGAGCAGCCCCUGGCUCUGAACA